rnacentral:tRNA from 1 species
AGCCUUGGGGUGUUACAUAACAGAUUGCAAAUCUGAAGAAGCGAACGAGAGUUUGCCGGGGCUU